rnacentral:snoRNA from 1 species
UCUGCAGAAAUGAGUUUUCCAUGUCUCUUCUCUGAUUGAACAUUCGUGAGGAGUACUUUUAUACCUCUGAUCUGCAGA